CUUAGUGGCGGACUGGUGAGUAACGCGUGAGGAACCUGCCUUUCAGAGGGGGACAACAGUUGGAAACGACUGCUAAUACCGCAUGACGCACUUUGAUCGCAUGGUCGAAAUGCCAAAGAUUUAUCGCUGAAAGAUGGCCUCGCGUCUGAUUAGCUAGUUGGUGAGGUAACGGCCCACCAAGGCGACGAUCAGUAGCCGGACUGAGAGGUUGACCGGCCACAUUGGGACUGAGAUACGGCCCAGACUCCUACGGGAGGCAGCAGUGGGGAAUAUUGCACAAUGGGGGAAACCCUGAUGCAGCGACGCCGCGUGGAGGAAGAAGGUCUUCGGAUUGUAAACUCCUGUUGUUGGGGAAGAUAAUGACGGUACCCAACAAGGAAGUGACGGCUAACUACGUGCCAGCAGCCGCGGUAAAACGUAGGUCACAAGCGUUGUCCGGAAUUACUGGGUGUAAAGGGAGCGCAGGCGGGAAGACAAGUUGGAAGUGAAAUCUAUGGGCUCAACCCAUAAACUGCUUUCAAAACUGUUUUUCUUGAGUAGUGCAGAGGUAGGCGGAAUUCCCGGUGUAGCGGUGGAAUGCGUAGAUAUCGGGAGGAACACCAGUGGCGAAGGCGGCCUACUGGGCACCAACUGACGCUGAGGCUCGAAAGUGUGGGUAGCAAACAGGAUUAGAUACCCUGGUAGUCCACACCGUAAACGAUGAUUACUAAGAGUGUAGGAGGAUUAACCCCUUCAGUGGCGCAGUAAACACAAUAAGCAUUUCCACCUGGGGAGUACGGCCGCAAGGUUGAAACUCAAAGGAUAUGAUGGGGGCCCGCACAAGCAGCGGAGCAUGUGGUUUAAUUCGAAGCAACGCGAAGAGCCUUACCAGGGUUUGACAUCCUGCUAUAGAAGUAGAGAUACAUUAGGUGCCCUUCGGGGAAAGCAGAGACAGGUGGUGCAAGGUUGUCGUCAGCUCGUGUCGUGAGAUGUUGGGUAAAGUCCCGCAACGAGCGCAACCCCUAUUGUUAGUUGCUACGCAAGAGCACUCUAGCGAGACUGCCGUUGACAAAACGGAGGAAGGUGGGGACGACGUCAAAUCAUCAUGCCCCUUAUAUCCUGGGCUACACACGUAAUACAAUGGCGGUCAACAGAGGGAAGCAAAGCCGCGAGGCAGAGCAAACCCCCAAAAGCCGUCCCAGUUCGGAUUGUAGGCUGCAACUCGCCUGCAUGAAGUCGGAAUCGCUAGUAAUCGCGGAUCAGCAUGCCGCGGUGAAUACGAUCCCGGGCCUUGUACUCACCGCCCGUCA
rnacentral:rRNA from 1 species